rnacentral:rRNA from 1 species
AUGACGCUGGCGGAAUGCUUUACACCAUGCAGUCGAACGGCAGCACGGACUUCGGUCUGGUGGCGAGUGGCGAACGGGUGAGUAAUACAUCGGAACGUGCCCAGUCGUGGGGGAUAACGUAGCGAAAGCUACGCUAAUACCGCAUACGAUCUAAGGAUGAAAGCGGGGGAUCGCAAGACCUCGCGCGAUUGGAGCGGCCGAUGGCAGAUUAGUAGUUGGUAGGUAAAGGCCUACCAAGCCGACGAUCUGUAGCUGGUCUGAGAGGACGACCAGCCACACUGGGACUGAGACACGGCCCAGACUCCUACGGGAGGCAGCAGUGGGGAAUUUUUGGACAAUGGGCGAAAGCCUGAUCCAGCCAUUCCGCGUGCAGGAUGAAGUGCCCUCGGGUUGUAAACUGCUUUUGUACGGAACGAAAAGGUCCUGGUUAAUACCUGGGGCUCAUGACGGUACCGUAAGAAUAAGCACCGGCUAACUACGUGCCAGCAGCCGCGGUAAUACGUAGGGUGCAAGCGUUAAUCGGAAUUACUGGGCGUAAAAGCGUGCGCAGGCGGUGAUGUAAGACAGAGGU